CCAAUAGCGUAUAUUAAAGUUGUUGCAGUUAAAAAGCUCGUAGUUGAAUUUCGGGAUCAAUAUGUUGGUCGUGCCUCGGUACGUACUAGCUUAUUGGUUUCUCCUUUCUGACGAACCAGGAUGUCAUUUCUUUGGUGUCGUGGGGAAUCAGGACUGUUACUUUGAAAAAAUUAGAGUGUUUACAGCAGGCUCACGCUCGAAUACAUUAGCAUGGAAUAAUGAAAUAGGACGUUUGAUUCUAUUUUGUUGGUUUCUAGGAUCGACGUAAUGAUUAAUAGGGAUAGUUGGGGGCAUUAGUAUUCAAUUGUCAGAGGUGAAAUUCUUGGAUUUAUUGAAGACUAACUACUGCGAAAGCAUGUGCCAAGGAUGUUUUCAUUAAUCAAGAACGAAAGUUAGGGGAUCGAAGACGAUCAGAUACCGUCGUAGUCUUAACCAUAAACUAUGCCGACUAGGGAUCGGAUGAUGUUAAUUUUUUAAUGACUCAUUCGGCGCCUUACG
rnacentral:rRNA from 1 species